rnacentral:rRNA from 1 species
ACGGGUGAGUAACGCGUGGGAACAUACCCUUUUCUACGGAAUAGCUCUGGGAAACUGGAAUUAAUACCGUAUACGCCCUACGGGGGAAAGAUUUAUCGGGGAAGGAUUGGCCCGCGUUGGAUUAGCUAGUUGGUGGGGUAAAGGCCUACCAAGGCGACGAUCCAUAGCUGGUCUGAGAGGAUGAUCAGCCACAUUGGGACUGAGACACGGCCCAAACUCCUACGGGAGGCAGCAGUGGGGAAUAUUGGACAAUGGGCGCAAGCCUGAUCCAGCCAUGCCGCGUGAGUGAUGAAGGCCUUAGGGUUGUGAAGCUCUUUCACCGAUGAAGAUAAUGACGGCAGUCGGAGAAGAAGCCCCGGCUAACUUCGUGCCAGCAGCCGCGGUAAUACGAAGGGGGCUAGCGUUGUUCGGAAUUACUGGGCGUAAAGCGCACGUAGGCGGAUAUUUAAGUCAGGGGUGAAAUCCCAGAGCUCAACUCUGGAACUGCCUUUGAUACUGGGUAUCUUGAGUAUGGAAGAGGUAAGUGGAAUUGCGAGUGUAGAGGUGAAAUUCGUAGA